CCUACGGGAGGCAGCAGUGAGGAAUAUUGGUCAAUGGACGAGAGUCUGAACCAGCCAAGUAGCGUGAAGGAUGACUGCCCUAUGGGUUGUAAACUUCUUUUAUAUGGGAAUAAAAUGUUCCACGUGUGGGAUUUUGUAUGUACCAUAUGAAUAAGGAUCGGCUAACUCCGUGCCAGCAGCCGCGGUAAUACGGAGGAUCCGAGCGUUAUCCGGAUUUAUUGGGUUUAAAGGGAGCGUAGGUGGAUUGUUAAGUCAGUUGUGAAAGUUUGCGGCUCAACCGUAAAAUUGCAGUUGAAACUGGCAGUCUUGAGUACAGUAGAGGUGGGCGGAAGUCGUGGUGGAGCGGUGAAAUGCUUAGAUAUCACGAAGAACUCCGAUUGCGAAGGCAGUUCACUGGACUGCAACUGACACUGAGGCUCGAAAGUGUGGGUAUCAAACAGGAUUAGAUACCCGUGUAGUC
rnacentral:rRNA from 1 species